GAUUAACGCUGGCGGCGUGCAUAACACAUGCAAGUCGAACGAUGAAACUUUUUUGAUUUCUUCGGCAUGAUUCAAAGUGGAUUAGUGGCGGACGGGUGAGUAACGCCUGAGUAACCUGCCUUAGAGAAGGGGAUAGCCUUUGGAAACGAAGAAUAAUACCCUAUGAAACCAUAACCUCGCAUGAGGAAUUGGUCAAAGAUUUAUCGCUCUAAGAUGGACUUGCGUCUGAUUAGUUAGUUGGUGGGGUAACGGCCCACCAAGACAGCGAUCAGUAGCCGGCUUGAGAGAGUGUACGGCCACAUUGGGACUGAGACACGGCCCAGACUCCUACGGGAGGCAGCAGUGGGGAAUUUUGCACAAUGGGGGAAACCCUGAUGCAGCGACGCCGCGUGAUUUAGAAGGCCUUCGGGUUGUAAAAAUCUUUUCUAUGGGAAGAAAAUGACAGUACCAUAGGAAUAAGGACCGGCUAAUUACGUG
rnacentral:rRNA from 1 species